CACGUAGGGGCCAAGCGUUGUCCGGAUUUAUUGGGCGUAAAGAGCUCGUAGGCGGUUGGGUAAGUCGGGUGUAAAAACUCUGGGCUCAACUCAGAGACGCCACCCGAUACUGCUCUGACUUGAGUCCGGUAGGGGAGUGGGGAAUUCCUGGUGUAGCGGUGAAAUGCGCAGAUAUCAGGAGGAACACCGGUGGCGAAGGCGCCACUCUGGGCCGGAACUGACGCUGAGGAGCGAAAGCGUGGGUAGCAAACAGG
rnacentral:rRNA from 1 species